rnacentral:rRNA from 1 species
CCUACGGGCGGCAGCAGUGGGGAAUAUUGGGCAAUGGACGCAAGCCUGACCCAGCAACGCCGCGUGAAGGAAGAAGGCUUUCGGGUUGUAAACUUCUUUUCUCAGGGACGAAGCAAGUGACGGUACCUGAGGAAUAAGCCACGGCUAACUACGUGCCAGCAGCCGCGGUAAUACGGAGGAUGCGAGCGUUAUCCGGAUUUAUUGGGUUUAAAGGGUGCGUAGGCGGUCCGGAAAGUCAGCGGUAAAAGCCCGGGGCUCAACCCCGGCGAGCCGUUGAAACUGUCGGACUAGAGACGGCGAGAAGUACGCGGAAUGCGCGGUGUAGCGGUGAAAUGCAUAGAUAUCGCGCAGAACUCCGAUUGCGAAGGCAGCGUACCGGCGCCGGACUGACGCUGAGGCACGAAAGCGUGGGUAUCGAACAGGAUUAGAUACCCUUGUAGUC